CAAGCUCCAAGGCUGAACUCAGUGCCUCGCCCCGAUAAAUGUGUGUGUCCCACACAGCGCUUCGGGCUGAGCGGCCCACAGGUGGGCAGCACAGCUGUGCCCUCUGCUGCAAAGGGGCCGUGGUAGCAAACGCCCACCUCCCCUCAUCACCACUGGGAUGCCCCUCCCCGCAGAGCACCGGGCAGCGCCCGUACAUCUGUCAGCCCGCACAGCUCGGCCGGGAUCCUGUGCCCUCCCCGGGGUUUUCUGGGAGAGGAACCACAUCACCCCAACGCGGAGCUGCCCUUCGCCCCCUUCCUCUCGGCAAAUAAACAAGGAGGUGCUGACAGCUGCCAGGCUUACCCAGAGGCGUUCUGACGGACAAUUGAAUCCCUGCGGUGAGGAGGCGGAGCUGGGGGGUCCGUGCUCAGCAGGGCAGCGCACGGGGCAGGGCGGCACGGAGAGCUCAGCUGGGGCGUUGGGCGCCGUCCCGUGCCUGCUGCCCCGAGGGAGACACGGGGCCGUAGUGCUUCUAAUUGGCCCACUUUGCGUCCCAGAGCCCCGCACGGCAGAAACCCUGGUGUGAGUCAUGUCCAUUUAAAUAUGGAAGCACAUCAUAAAACCUAAUGGAGAGUCCAAG
rnacentral:lncRNA from 1 species